rnacentral:rRNA from 1 species
UUAACUGACGCUAAAGCUCGAAAGUGCGGGUAUCGAACAGGAUUAGAUACCCUGGUAGUCCGCACGGUAAACGAUGGAUGCCCGCUGUUGGCGAUACAAUGUCAGCGGCCAAGCGAAAGCGUUAAGCAUCCCACCUGGGGAGUACGCCGGCAACGGUGAAACUCAAAGGAAUUGACGGGGGCCCGCACAAGCGGAGGAACAUGUGGUUUAAUUCGAUGAUACGCGAGGAACCUUACCCGGGCUUGAACUGCAGCUGAACGAUCCAGAGAUGGUGAGGCCCUUCGGGGCAGCUGUGGAGGUGCUGCAUGGUUGUCGUCAGCUCGUGCCGUGAGGUGUCGGCUUAAGUGCCAUAACGAGCGCAACCCUUUUCUCUAGUUGCCAUCAGGUUUUGCUGGGCACUCUGGAGACACUGCCACCGUAAGGUGUGAGGAAGGUGGGGAUGACGUCAAAUCAGCACGGCCCUUACGUCCGGGGCUACACACGUGUUACAAUGGGUGGUACAGAGAGUCAGCGGCCGGCAACGUCCGCUUAAUCAUGAAAUCCAUCCUCAGUUCGGAUUGGGGUCUGCAACCCGACCCCAUGAAGCUGGAUUCGCUAGUA